AUGAAUGCUAACGAUCCCUUCGCAUCUUUACCUAACCAUCGAAGAUGAAGUCACAUAAGUAAACUUUCGUUCCUCGAAUUUCCUGAAUGUUACAUCUAUUUAAAGACUAUUACUUUUAAAGAGAAAUAUUGUUAUUAGCAUAUUUUCUUCCUUAUUUCAUAAGAACUUGUUAUAACAUAUGUAAAAAUAUUUAUUUGCGAUUAUUAUGCAGCCCACGAUUUAUAAAUAAAUAUAAAACUUUUCUUUCAA